AACGCUGGCGGCGUGCCUAACACAUGCAAGUCGAACGGGGAGUUAGCAAUAACUCCUAGUGGCGAACGGGUGAGUAACGCGUAGAUAACCUGCCUCUAAGCUGGGGACAACACCUGGAAACGGGUGCUAAUACCGAAUGUUGUAUCAUGGUUGCAUAAUCGUGAUACUAAAGGUGGCCUCUGAAUAUGCUAUCGCUUAGAGAUGGGUCUGCGUCUGAUUAGCUAGUUGGUGGGGUAAAAGCCUACCAAGGCGACGAUCAGUAGCCGGUCUGAGAGGAUGAACGGCCACACUGGGACUGAGACACGGCCCAGACUCCUACGGGAGGCAGCAGUGGGGAAUCUUCCGCAAUGGACGAAAGUCUGACGGAGCAACGCCGCGUGAGUGAAGAAGGUUUUCGGAUCGUAGAGCUCUGUCUUUAGGGAAGAAUGUCAGCUUUGUGAAUAAUGAGGUUGAAUGACGGUACCUGAGGAGGAAGCCACGGCUAACUACGUGCCAGCAGCCGCGGUAAU
rnacentral:rRNA from 1 species